UCUGCCUAUGAAUAGGAUGUGGGCCAAAGGGCAUGUGCUUGUUUGCAUGUGUGUGCAGGCGGUGAUCAGUGGUAUUUUGGUGGGUCAGUGGAGGCCUCAGGCACGUGUGUGUGUGUGUUUUGAAAGACCUGGACUGAUCACAUGGCCCACACAGACAACGUGUGGUGGUGUCGGUGGCGGUGGUGGGUGCCUUCAGCGCCCGACCACAUCAAACACACAUUUGUUGCACACACUCCAACGCAUGGACUGUUAACCCCUAGAAGAGUGCCUCUCACAACGACUCCUGACGAUCAUGUGAACUUUUAUCCUACGCAGACACACUUUCACCCUUCAAGUACCUUUCUUUGGUUCCUCCAGUCUUGCCAUCUUGUUUGUAGGAGGCGUGAACUCUUCGUCACUGAAAGUGAGACGGGACACGGCACAGACUUUGGCCUGGCCGCCUCGGUGACAGACGCCUGUUACAUGUCCAGAGCUACUGGAUCAGACGUGUGCAUUCACACAUACAUCUACGCUGGGUGAAGUGUUGGGAAGUUCAAGGAUGCAUGAGUGGAUAUUUUAAGUCAUUUUAACAAACUGGGCCAGACGACUGACAGUGAAACUCCAGUCACCCCGUGGUGUAACUGGACCAUACACUGAACUCUCUCAACUCUUGGUUGUUGUGCGUGUAUAAUAAUAGAUGAACUAAAUGUGAGAUUAGACAAAAACAAAAGUUAAAAAUGA